CAAGUACUCCCUCCGUCUGGAAUUACUUGUCAUGAAAAUGGAUGUGUCUAGAACUAAAAUACAUCUAGAUACAUCCAUUUCAAUGAUAAGUAUUUUCGGACGGAGGGAGUACAAG
rnacentral:pre_miRNA from 1 species